rnacentral:rRNA from 1 species
UACGGAGGGGGCUAGCGUUGUCCGAAUUUACUGGGCGUAAAGCGCGCGUAGGCGGGAUAAUAAGUUGGUGGUGAAAAACCGAGGCUCAACCUCGGUCGUGCUUCCAAUACUGUUAUCCUUGAGGUAUGUAUGGGGAAGUGGAAUUCCUGGUGUAGCGGUGAAAUGCGUAGAUAUCAGGAGGAACACCGGUGGCGAAGGCGGCUUCCUGGGCAUAUCCUGACGCUGAGGUGCGAAAGCUAGGGUAG